rnacentral:lncRNA from 10 species
AUUCUCUGGGACUACACGGUAUAGUUGAGAAACGGACCGUGGUAAGUAGCUGCUGAGAUAACCCCAAAGAUUCUUCCCUCCAGGUAUUCACAGCCUUGUGUAAUCCCUUCCCCUUGAGUAACCUGCUUCUAAUCAAUAGAAGACUUCAAGGCUGAAGGGAUCACAAAUAACUAGAUUACAGAAGAUUCUAAUUUCAACUUUGCUAGUAUAAUCUCUCCUUUGUUGCUUUGAUGAAGCAAAUGGCCAUGUUGGGAAGAACCAUGUGGCAAGAAACUGAAGAUGGCCUUUGGCCAAUAGCCACCUAGGGACUAAUGAACAACUCAGAAGGAAGUACACUGUGCCAAUAACCAUGUGAGUAGGACUGAAAGCAGAUUUAUCUUUAACUGAGCCUUCAGAUAAGAUCCCAGCCAUGGCUGACACCUUGACAGCAGCCUCAUGAGAGACCCUGAAGCAGAGGACCCAGCUUGACCGUGUCUUCCUUCCUGACCCACAGAAACUAUGAGGGGCCAGCACAGAGGCUGACAGCCAUUGUUUCAACCUCCAUGAGCUGAACCUCCAGGAAGCAGCUUCCUGGGGAUUUAAAGAGACAAUACUUGUGCUCCCACCCCCAUGUCUUUUGGGAACCAGACAUUUAAGGAAAUCUUUGUCGGGUCACUGGUUGAUUACAGAAAUGAUGGAACAGAAACUUUAGUGACCACAAACAACAAUAUAUAUCUUGCAAAAAUAGUUUUAAAAAGUCAUAAAUAGAUGACCCAGUCCUCAUAAAGUACAAGAAAUCUCUGAGGUAUUGAAGAAUUAGAUAUCCAGUUAGUGCAACAUGGUAUUUAAAAUUUCUAGCUCUCAACAAACAAUUACAAAACAUACAAAAAAAGAGGAAAACAUGGUCCAUUCACAGAAAAAAAGAAGUUUACAGAAAUCUUUUCUAAGAAAGACCAGACAUUGGAAUUAUUAGUCAAUGGCAUUAAGUCAACUGCCUUAAAUAUGUUUAAUGAGAUAAGGAAAACCAUAAACCAAGAACUAAAAGGAAUCAGUAGAAUUAUAUAUGAACAAAGAAAGAAUAUCAAUUAAUAAAUAGAAAUAAAAAAGAACUAAACUGAAAUUCUGGAGGUGAAAACUGUAAUAACUGAAAUGAAAAAUUAACUAGAGGCAUUCAACAGCAGGUUUGAGCAAGUGGAAAAAAGUGUCUAUGAACUUGAAGACGGGGCAAUUGAAAUUAUCCAGUCUGGGGAGCACAAAGACAAAAGAAUAAGUAAAAGUGAACAGAGGCUAAGGGCCCUGUAGGACACCAUCAAGUGAAUCAAAUUUACAAUAUGAGAGUUUCAGAAAGAGUAGAGAGAGUUGGGAAAGAAAGAACAUCUGACGAAAUAAUGACUGGCAAAUGUCCCAAAUUCGAUGAAAGAAAUGAAUCUACAGAUCCGAGAAACUCAACAAACCUCCAAGGAUAAACUCAACAAACUCCUAGGAUAAACUCAAAGAGCUUCACCCCAAGACAUAUUAUAAUCAAAGUGUCAAAAGUCAGAGACAAAGAGAAUCUUGAAAACAGAAAAAGAGAAAUGAUUAGUCACACACAAGGACUCCUCAAUAAGAUUAAGAGCUGCUUUCUCAUCAGAAACCAUGGAGACCAGCAGGCAGUGGAAUGAAAAAGUGCUGAAAGAAAAAACUCAAGGAAGAAUUCUCUCUCUGGCAAAACUAUCUUUCAAAAAUGAAGGAUAAAUUAAGACAUUCACAGAUAAAAUCUGAGAACAUUCACUGCCAGUAGACCUGCUCUCACAAGAAAUGCUAAUGGGAGUCCUUGGGGGCUGAAAUGAGAGGACACUGGACAGCAAAUUGAAGCCAUAUGAAGAAAUAAAGAUCUCUAGUAAAGAUAACUGCAUAGAUUAAUAUAAAAACAGUAUUGUUGCAUUUUUGGUUUGUAACUAUUUCCUAUGCAGUUCAAAAGACAAAUACAUGAAAAGUAAUUAUAAAUCUUUUAACAGGCAUACAUGUAAAAUGUGUAAUUUAUGGCCAGGCACAGUGGCUCAUGCCUGUAAUCCCAGCCCUUUGGGAGGCCAAGGUUGAGCGACCACUUGAAGCCAAGAAUUCAAGAUCAGCCUGUGCAAUGUAGAGAGACCCCAUAUCUAAAAAAAAAAAAAAAAUUAAAUUAAAAAAAAAUAGCCAGGCAUAGUGGCACAUGCCUGUAGUCUCAGCUACUCAGGAGGCUGAGGUGUGAGGAUUGCUUGAGCCCAGGAGUUUGAGGGUGCAGUGAUCUAUGAUCACACCACUGCACUCCAGCCUGGGUGAACAGGCAAGACCCUGUCUCAAGGGAAAAAAAGAUAUUAAUUGUGAUAACAGCAACAUAAAGGUAGGAGGGGAUGAACCGUAUAGGAGCAGAAUUUUUGUGUGCUGUUGAAGCUAAGUUGGUAUUAAUUCAAACUAGACUGUUAUAAAUUUAGGAUGCUACAGUGGACAGAAUGUUUAUUUUUUUUUUUUGUAGAGACAAGGUCUUAUUAUGUUGCUUAGGCUGGUCUCAAACCCCUGACCUCAAGCAAUCCUCCCACCUCAGCCUCCUAAAGUGUUAGGAUUACAGAUGUGCGCCACCAGGCCUGGCUUGAAGUUAUUUUUAUCAAGAUCAAUUUUUUAUGUAAAUGACUUGAUAUUUUGGGGAUCCACAUCAUAAUUUACUGACUGUAGAUUCUGCUAUUGUAAGCUUUCUUUAGGGAUUAUUAUUCCUACCAAGUCAAUUUUCCUUGGUCAAAUUAUGCAUAUCAAAAUGUUAAAUAUACUUUUCUUCCAUCAAUUUUCAGUCAAUGAUAAAUUUUACCACGUGCAGUUUUAACCAUUAUCAGUUUUUGCUAUAGACUGUUUGUGUCCCCCCAGAUUCCUGUUUUGAAACCUGUCCCCCAGUAUGAUGGUAUUUGGAGGUUUGACCUUUGGGAGGUGAUAAGGUUGUGAGGGUAGAGCCCUCAUGAAUGGCAUCAGUGCCCUUACAAAACAAGCCACAGAGAGCUCCCUUUCUGCCUUCUGCCAUCUGAGGACACAGUGAGAAGACAGCUAUCUGUGAACCAGGGGGUUGGCCCUCACCAGAUACCAAAUCUUCUGGGACUUUGAGCUAGGACAUCCCAGCUUCCAGAACUGUGAGGAAUAAAUUUCAGUUAUUGAUAUGUCAUCCCGUUUAUGGUGUUUUGUUGUAGCAGCCUGAAUGGACUAAGUUUUAU